UACGGAGGAUGCAAGCGUUAUCCGGAUUUAUUGGGUUUAAAGGGUGCGUAGGCGGGUGAAUAAGCGUGAGGUGAAAUGCCCUGGCUCAACCAGGGAACUGCCUCGCGAACUGUUCGUCUUGAAUGCUCCUGCCGUGGGAGGAAUGGGUAGUGUAGCGGUGAAAUGCAUAGAUAUUACCCAGAACACCGAUUGCGAAGGCAUCUCACGAAGGGGCUAUUGACGCUGAGGCACGAAAGCGUGGGGAU
rnacentral:rRNA from 1 species